CCACUUCUUCGUUUCAAUUGUCAGGUGUUUAAAUUAUUCGAGUAUCACAAGUUUUCUGUUAACGUUUUUGAACUGUGAUUGUGAUGGAAAACUCUGACUUUGAAAAAAGUGAUGAAGGUGAAUAUCUUCAAGUGAAACCAACGAAAAGUGUUUUUGGAAAUAAAAAAAAAGACCUCUCGGGAUAGGUGAUGGAUUAAGUAAAACCACAAGAAAACGUCGUACAUUAGCAUUUAAAAAAGAGGCUGAAUAGUUAUGUGAGAAGUUCAAGCUAGAAAUACUCCUUGGAAUACAUUUCCCUACAGAUGUUAGAAAAAGCUGGUAUUUUGAAGGUUUUGGUGUGCGAAUGAAGCAAUUUGCUGAUGAGACUGCCAUUGGAAAGAAGAUCAAGACUGACUUACAACUGUUAUCAAACAGUUGGUUUGUAGAUGACAAGAUUAACUUGCAAGAAGGGGUUACUGCAUUCAGUGUCAUUACUGGACCGUUUGUCAGCGCUGUAGGAGAGGAAGCGGUAAUUCUUGCGCAGCAGCGUGGAGCUCUCGAUUACAGUAAGUACAUACGAUAUAUUUAAAUAAGCAGUCUUUUCAUUAAUUAAUUCUAUUUACUAAAUGGUUCAAUCAGAGAGUCUAUCUAAAGGGAAGACUGUAACAGAUAUUUCCACAUUACAAGAUGAAUUGGAAUGGUUGCAUUUUGAGUGGCUUAAUGUCAAAGACAGAGUUUCUGCUCUAGCGGGUUCGUAUCACAUUAUUUAUCAUUUCAAUAGUGUUAUUAUUUGCAUGAUGUUGAACAGGGGGCUGCAAAUGGAGAACAAAAUUGAGGAGAAAACAAGGGACGCUGUACGCUUCGGCAGGGAAAAAAAUUUCAGAAAUUAACGAACUGAUCACAGAAAUUAAAAAACGGAUCACAAAAACUGUUCCAAAGUCAGCUGCCGAAUCUUUCAAUCAGGAGAAGGAUGUAGAGCAAAUCAUUUGUAAUGAACUCGUUACUCUGAAACACUUUGAAG